rnacentral:rRNA from 1 species
GACGAACGCUGGCGGCGUGCUUAACACAUGCAAGUCGAACGGAAAGGCCCUGCUUUUGUGGGGUGCUCGAGUGGCGAACGGGUGAGUAACACGUGAGUAACCUGCCCUUGACUUUGGGAUAACUUCAGGAAACUGGGGCUAAUACCGGAUAGGAGCUCCUGCUGCAUGGUGGGGGUUGGAAAGUUUCGGCGGUUGGGGAUGGACUCGCGGCUUAUCAGCUUGUUGGUGGGGUAGUGGCUUACCAAGGCUUUGACGGGUAGCCGGCCUGAGAGGGUGACCGGCGACAUUGGGACUGAGAUACGGCCCAGACUGCUACGGGAGGCAGCAGUGGGGAGUAUUGCACAAUGGGCGGAAGCCUGAGGCAGCAGCGCCGCGUGCGGGAUGACGGCCUUCGGGUUGUAAACCGCUUUCGCCUGUGACGAAGCGUGAGUGACGGUAAUGGGUAAAGAAGCACCGGCUAACUACGUG